rnacentral:rRNA from 1 species
AUUGAACGCUGGCGGCAUGCUUUACACAUGCAAGUCGAACGGAUUUUGGAGCUUGCUCCAAAGUUAGUGGCGAACGGGUGAGUAAUAUAUCGGAACGUACCCGGCAAUGGGGGAUAACGUAGCGAAAGUUACGCUAAUACCGCAUAUGCCCUGAGGGGGAAAGCAGGGGACCAGCAAUGGCCUUGCGUUGUCGGAGCGGCCGAUAUCGGAUUAGCUAGUUGGUGAGGUAAAGGCUCACCAAGGCGACGAUCCGUAGCGGGUCUGAGAGGAUGAUCCGCCACACUGGGACUGAGACACGGCCCAGACUCCUACGGGAGGCAGCAGUGGGGAAUUUUGGACAAUGGGAGAAACCCUGAUCCAGCCAUGCCGCGUGAGUGAAGAAGGCCUUCGGGUUGUAAAGCUCUUUCAGGUGGAAAGAAAAGGUUGCGGAUAAUACCUGCAACUGAUGACGGUACCAUCAGAAGAAGCACCGGCUAACUACGUGCCAGCCGCCGCAGUAAGAC